CGUUGAUUACGUCCCUGCCCUUUGUACACACCGCCCGUCGCUACUACCGAUUGAAUGGCUCAGUGAGGCGUUCGGACUGGCCCGAAGAGGUGGGCAACGACCACCCCGGGCCGGAAAGUUCUUCAAACUCGGUCAUUUAGAGGAAGUAAAAGUCGUAACAAGG
rnacentral:rRNA from 1 species